GACGAACGCUGGCGGCGUGCCUAAUACAUGCAAGUCGAACGCAGUGGGGACGGGUGAGUAACACGUGGGUAACAUCCCAUCAGAGGGGAUAACACUUGGAAACAGGUGCAAAACCGAUACUGAUGGAUGGACCCGCGGUGCAUUAGCUAGUUGGUGAGGUAACGGCUCACCAAGGCAACGAUGCAUAGCCGACCGACAGGGGUAAUCGGCCUAUGUGGGACUGAGACCCGACCCAGGAUCCUACGGAAGGCAGGAGUAGGGAAUCUUCGGCGAUAGACGAAAGUCUGACCUAGCAACGCCGCGUGAGUGAAGAGGGUUUUCGGGUCGUGAAGCUCUGUUGUUAGAGAAGCGGUAUCUAACCAGGAAGCCACGACUAACUACGUGACAGCAGCCGCGGUAAUUC
rnacentral:rRNA from 1 species